rnacentral:lncRNA from 1 species
AAAAGUUUAUAUUUUAAAUUUUAAAAUAUAAAUAUAAAAUAUAAAAAUUCUAAUUCUAAUAUUAAAAAAAAAUAAUAUUGUUAUUUUUUAUUUAUAACUACCCACUUUAAUUUUUAUUCCAUCUUAUCUAACUAAACGCUAUUUUUUUUUAUUUUGAGUAAUAACCUAAUUUUCAUCCAAACACAAAAUUGAUCUAAUCCCCGCUUAUACCUCAAUUUAUACCUAUCCCCGGAAUACUCACUUUUUGCUUAUCCUCGAACCAAACGACACCUUAUGCGAGAAUAGCAUACUAAAGUUUUCCUUGAAGUGCUCUUUACAAUAAAUUCAGAAAUUUACGUCUCUUUUUCUUUGUAUCUGCUUGUAUAUAAAACUAUUGAUAAAUAAAUUUAGAGUUAAUUUCUUUAAUACCUUGUAAAAGAUUAUAAUUUUAUAGAUGCUCCACCAAAUUUGAAAACAUCAUUAGUGUCCUUAUAUGAGUCUGGCUGAGAUGCUAUUGAUAGCACGAAGUAUUUGGUACUAUCAAAUUUUUCACCGUUAGAUUUAACCCUUUGAUUACUUUCACCCGUUAGAUUAUAUUAUUAAAUCAAUAACUCACUCAACCCUAUAGAACCCAUAUUAUUCUAACGGUACAUUUUUUCAUCCAAGAGUCGAAGACCUAAUAGCAUUAAUAGUUUGUGCUAUUGAUAGUAUUCCAGUAUAGUUCGUCCUUAUAUAUAUAUAUAUAUAUAUAUAUAUAUAUAUAUAUAGUCCGGCUUGGAUACUAUCGAUAGUACCAAGCGUUUGAUACUAUCAAAUUUUUUACCGUAGAUUUAACCCUUUGACUAUUUUUAUCCGUUAGAUUAUACUAUUAAACCAAUAAUUCACUCAACCCUAGGGAACCCAUAUUAUCCUAACCGUAUAUUUUUUUUAUUCAAGGGCCGAAAACCUAAUAGUAUCAAUAACUUGGUACUAUUGAUAGUAUUCUAGCCUCUAUAUAUAUAUAUAUAUAUAUAUAAAGGUUUAUGAUUCAGGCUUAGAAAGAAUGGGGUUUAGAGGAGUAUUGGUAGUAAUUUGAUGUGCUUAAAAGGGAUAUUAGUAAUAGUUUUGAAUAAUUGGAGAGGUUUUUAUAAUAUUUUAAAUUUUAGAAGGGUAUUUUAAAUAUUUUGAAGUUUUAGAGGGGUAGAUUUGGAAUUGCCCCAAGAAUUUAUGUUGUGCCAGACCAACGGGCAUUGCCGGAAAAACAAAAGAAAAGGCAAAAAAAAAAAACAAAAAACAACUUGUCUAUAUACUUUUCCUGAGUGACACGUGGAGGGAGCCUGUCCAUGAGCCUGUCCAGAUGACAAGCCCAUACAUGAGGUUGUUGUUAAUGGACACAGAUAUCUGAAAUUUUAUUCGUACAUAAAUAAAAUAAAUUUAUUGAUACUAAACAAAUGUGGUUUCGAAUGUGAGUAUAAAAAAUAAAGAGACAAUUGCUUAUAUAACUUUGAAAGUUCUAGAUUUUCUGAUUUAUCUCUUUUAGAAGACUAAUAUUGAAAAUACCUUUUUUACGUUCCAACCUAUUUCUAAUAUACCCUUAGAGUUAAAAUCUGUUAAUAAACUCUAAUAUCUCUGUGAAAUUACUAUUUUGCCCUUUCAAAUAUAUCAUUCUAUCAUCACCGACUUUUUUUAUUUGCCCUUAAGUUAGGGGCACAAAAAGUAUUUUAUUUUUUGAUCUUUUCAAGUAUACCCUUCUAUCAUCACCAAUAUUUCUUAUUUACUUUUAAGUUUAGGGCAAAAAUGAUAUUUUAAUUUUUUUUAACUGUGAUAGAUAUUUAACUCACGUUUAACCAAAGUUAACUUAACGAGUGUUAACUGCAGGGGUAUUUUAGAAUAACGGAGGAACACAUGAGAGGUAUAUUAGAAAGAAAAAAAAAGUAGGAAUAAAUGAGAUAUUUUUGAAGUUUUGAGGAAUAUAUAGGUAAUUAUCCCAAAAAUAAAAGUAUGAUGGAUUUGAAUUUGAAUAUGGAUUUUGUUUGAACCCAAUCCGAACUCAAGAUAAUUUGAAUUGAGUUUAUAUUUAUAAUAUAUAUGAAUGUUUGAAGUUAUGUUUAAACUUGCAUUAUAAAAUUUUUGAUUUUAAAUUAAUAUUAUUUUGAAAUAUAGUAAAGAGAAAUAAUUAUUUCGGAUUUGAUUUAUUUCGAAUUUUUGGCCGAAUAUGGUUUUGCAUAUAAAUUUUUCAAAAUCCUUCGGAUUCAGAUUCAUAUCCAGAUUUCGAGUUCAGGUU